CUAGUAUUAGCCUUAAAAUGAAAGUUCUGUUCUGUUUCAUAGACAGCAUUUAUCUCAUGCAGUAUAUGUUUUUGGCAUUUGCAGCAUUUUCUACUGCAUUGGUUUUUGCUCUUGCAGCAGCUGUGUGAUGUGUAAUAUUUUCCUGUUGCAAUUGUUUUAUUGUGGUUGAGGGUUUCUGUUUUUGUAUAACUUUUUGUUAUAAGUUUGGAGCAGUUGUACUUUGCGCAUUUCCUUUUAUCGGCCACUGUAGUACACACAUACAUUAAUUAGAGCACAGGUAUGUUUAAACGCAGGGCUGUAGUUUCCAUGGCGACCACCAAGAACAACAAAGAGGUCGUUGCAAGGACCAAGAUUUCUUUCUAGCAAAGAAAGGACAAAACCUGAUGGCCGUCUGACAACCCACUACCACCGAAGGGAGGCGGGGGCACAGAAGUUGUUGUUGUUGCCCAAAGGAGAAGAUAAGGCUUCAGAAGGGAAAGAGACAUGCCCAAGAGGAUAAGGGAGGCGUGAAGGUGAAGAGGACGUGGAGUGGUGGGCAGCAGCGACGGGAUAAGAAACUUUACCUUGUGUUCUGUCGCCGACCACAAGUGAAGAUUGCUCGCCACCUGUUCAGGUAACAUGCAAAUAAAAAGCAAGUUCAGGCUUCUAGCUUGCUGCCGACUGGCUCCAAAGAACGCCACCUGCUCUUGAAGCAGCUGCGCAGUAGAGGCAACUACCUCCACAAUAUAUAGGCUUGUUUCCUGUUUGAUUUCCUGUUUCAACUUACCAGCUGCCAAAGUGACUUUUAUGUCCAUCAGCCCUCACAGGAUGUGGAGGGCAGGAACUACCUUCUGUGCCCACUCUGCCUUGGUUUCGUCUCGCGUGCUGAUAUCCGGAAGCACCAGGCCUCUUGUCGCAGAAAACUGGCCUUUGACCCCUCCAAACCUCCAAGUCCCCCAAUUGUAGAGAUAAACUGUGACCCCGCAAAGGACGCAAACUCUGAUCGAACAAGUACUGGGAGCUGUGACUUGCAAGAAGUUGACCAUUUUUACUCCAUUUAUAUCGGACAAGUUUGGAGCUUCCAAAUAUGAGACGGAGCCUCCAUGGAGGCAAUGCAGGGUCCAGGCUGCGGCAUUUCGCCUCUUGCAUAUUUUCGGGCGAGCCUCUGAGAGCUGCAGCAGCUGUCAUCAGAGGAGCUGAUGAUGAUUCCCCCUUAGGAGUGAACACGACACCAAAGCCUGUUUGCGAGAUCGCCAUUGGAGAGAGCCUUCAAGAUGGUGACUGGGAGACUGCUGCCAGUACCACUGGGUUCUAUCACCUCCUGAGGAAGGACUGGCACAACCCACAACAACGGAAGAAAAAAACCUUAAGAACAAAUUGCUCCAGUCAAGAGGUGAAAAGAAGUAUCAAGGGCAUGAUUUUGAAGACUUUCAUCGUCGACCAGAGCUCACUGAAGCACACAAGAAAGUUCAGCAUUAUCAAUGGUUGUCAGCGGAGAAAGAAGCCGUCUGGAGACAAGUAGGAAUCCAUAUACUGGUACGGACUGUACCAGGAAAGGAGGUCUGUCAGUGAUGUCUGGACCUAGAGCUUGUCCUCAGGGGACGACACUGGACAUACAUCAAAAACCAUCUUCACAAUCAGAUCCCUAGCCAAAAGAAACAACAAUUCCAUGCGCAGAAGGAUCUUCAGUAGAGCCACAAUCAACAAGAUCUACAUCGAGACACAAAGAAGCAAAAACAAAUACAAAUGAAGCCACAGCUCACUGUCCUCAACCAGAACCAGAAAAAACAACCCUGUCAUGUCCAAAGCGGAACACAUUCUUAAUCCUUACAUCAAACAUCAUUGCCAACCUCAAAUGGACCAACAAGACCAGAAGAACAUUCGGAAUAAACAGCAGUGCCAGACCCAAAUGGAAUACAAAAAACAUUUUCAGGUCAACAAAAAUCCAGCACUCCCCACGACCCCAAAAGGGACAAGCGGUAGAAAAAUGGAUGGACGGAUGGAAGACAUUUUCAAUUUAAACUUUCUCGAAAUUUUUACCCAAAUGGUCCUUAUUAAGCAUUUUAUUUUUUCAGUAUUUAACAAAUUGUUGCGUUAAAAGGCUGAAAUUUUCCCAAAAAAGGUUUUUAACAAGUUCGAUUUUUUGAAAUACAUUACAUGCAGGAUUAUUAGUGAAUAAAAUACUGACUACAUUGGC